UACGUAGGGUGCGAGCGUAAUCGGAAUUACUGGGCGUAAAGCGUGCGCAGGCGGUGAUGUAAGACAGGUGUGAAAUCCCGGGCUUAACCUGGGAACUGCUUGUGACUGCAUCGCUGGAGUGCGGCAGAGGGGGAUGGAAUUCCGCGUGUAGCAGUGAAAUGCGUAGAUAUGCGGAGGAACACCGAUGGCGAAGGCAAUCCCCUGGGCCUGCACUGACGCUCAUGCACGAAAGCUGGGGAGCAAACAGG
rnacentral:rRNA from 1 species